rnacentral:rRNA from 1 species
AAGCUCGUAGUUGAAUUUCGGGAUCAAAUUGUCGGUCGUGCCUCGGUACGUACUGGCGUUAUUGGUUCCUCCCUUCUGAAGAACCGCGAUGUCAUUAAUUUGGUGUCGCGGGGAAUCAGGACUGUUACUUUGAAAAAAUUAGAGUGUUUAAAGCAGGCUCGCGCUUGAAUACAUUAGCAUGGAAUAAUGAAAUAGGACGUUUGAUUCUAUUUUGUUGGUUUCUAGGAUCGACGUAAUGAUUAAUAGGGAUAGUUGGGGGCAUUAGUAUUCAAUUGUCAGAGGUGAAAUUCUUGGAUUUAUUGAAGACUAACUACUGCGAAAGCAUUUGCCAAGGAUGUUUUCAUUAAUCAAGAACGAAAGUUAGGGGAUCGAAGACGAUCAGAUACCGUCGUAGUCUUAACCAUAAACUAUGCCGACUAGGGAUCGGAUGAUGUUAAUUUUUUAAUGACUCAUUCGGCGCCUUACGGGAAACCAAAGUGUUUGGGUUCCGGGGGGAGUAUGGUCGCAAGGCUGAAACUUAAAGGAAUUGACGGAAGGGCACCACCAGGGGUGGAGCCUGCGGCUUAAUUUGACUCAACACGGGGAAACUCACCAGGUCCAGUCAUAGUAAGGAUUGACAGAUUGAGAGCUCUUUCUUGAUUCUAUGGGUG